UCAGCUUCAACGGCAAAACAUCUCCUCCUUCCCUUCAAGCUCUCCAUACAUGCAUAUAUCAACUCCUCAACACACAUAUACAUAAGUAUAUGAUCACAGGGGUCCAAAACUAUCUAAUAACCCCAAACAACAAAUCAAACAUAACACAUAAACAUGUAUACAUGCAUAAAUCAUCAAAACUAUCAUUUAUAACCUAAGCAUGCAUCUCCUUCCACAAAUCCUCCUAAAACCUUCAGAAAACAUCUAAACAAGUUCCAAAGCUUCACUUACCUCCUGUAUAACAAGAAGAUGACCAAUCCUCACGUGAAGUUUUGGACAAACUCUCCUUCACACACCGUAACUCUUAACUCUUAACUUUUAUGCACAAAACCUUCAAACACUUAGCAAACCAACAGACAUUCUGUAUGAGCUGCUGAAAACACUUGCAGAUGAGUCAUAAAAGACGUGGCUAACUCAUGGCAAAAAUCUGAGGCCAACAUCUGUCAUAAGCCAUGACUCAGCUAGCUGGCCAACUCAUCGUCGGCUGCCCAAUCACAUGCAAGACCAUGCAAUCGUUCGAG
rnacentral:lncRNA from 1 species